rnacentral:lncRNA from 7 species
GAAGCCCUCCAGAAUGAGCCUGACCUUAGGAUUCGCGGCAAUGACAGCGAGCAACGCGCUGGCUGGGGUCUUCUAAGAACGUCUUUACUCUUGGCUCUGCCGCGUUACAACUAAAUGGCACCACUCUGCCUUCCAAAAAUCACUGCAAAAGCCCUGUGCUCCAUGCAGUGUGGUCUCAGAGGUCCGCUCAUGGGCUCACGAGGGCUCGUAGGGCUGCAGGAGGCACGGGUGUGCUCCUGGGGGAGAGCACAAUAGGCAGAAGGAAAUGACAGCUCUCAGAACCACUCUCAGGAGUCAUCCACGUGCUCGGUGGUUGCUGCUCUCUUCAGAGAUUAUAAUCUCCUUCAAGCAGAGACUCAUCUUCUUGCACAACUCUGAAUGCCACUGAAGUCAGAAACUGCACAGCCAUCAACACCGAGAUAAUGCAGAAGAGGUUCUAGCCUGGCUCUGGAGGAGAUGCUGUUUCAGCACACUUUCAGCUGAUUGAUAUGCAGACAGAUGCCAGCUCACAACAUCCAGCCCUCCCCAGGAGCACCUGGACCGCCUGUGUUGUUGCCUUUCUUCCUUCUUCCCUGAUGUGGACCCAUCCUCACUCUUCAUGCUUUCCUGCUUGAUUUAUCUGUGCUCUCCUUUAUGGUGUUUCCUUUCCCGUUUCCAUCUGUUUGUUGCUCAGAGAAGACAGAUGGUGGGAAAACCCUAAAAGCAGAGGGAAUGGCUAUGGACUGACAGCUACAGGAACCUGCUGAAGCUACCAACUUUUGCAAGCUGCCUCCCUAAGUCAGUCUUGGCCAUUUAAUGGGAACUUUGGACCAAACUGGACAUUCCCAAAUCACGUUAAUUAGUGAGAGCCAUAGUACGUGUCCAAGAUGCUGUUUUGCCGAGUCAUCCAGCAUCCUGAGCAAUGAAACACUGACUGGAGGCAGUGGGGACAACAUCCUGAUAGCCACCACAGUUAGUCACCAACAUGUUAGGAACCACCAGGAACCACCAGCACCACAGAAUUUAUCACCAGAACAAGUAACCCCCUGAAAUGUUGCUCAUGUUGCUCAGGAGGGUUUAGAAUACACUUCUGGAUGUGAAGAAAAAAUAAACAUUGUCAUUCCAGUG